GACGAACGCUGGCGGCGUGCUUAACACAUGCAAGUCGAACGAUGAAGCUGGAGCUUGCUCUAGCGGAUUAGUGGCGAACGGGUGAGUAACACGUGAGCAAUCUGCCCUUGACUCUGGGAUAACUGCGGGAAACUGUAGCUAAUACCGGAUACUUUCACCGGGGGGCAUCCUCUGGUGAUGACAGAAUUUCGGUCAAGGAUGAGCUCGCGGCCUAUCGGCUUGUUGGCGAGGUAACGGCUCACCAAGGCGACGACGGGUAACCGGCCUGAGAGGGUGACCGGUCACACUGGGACUGAGACACGGCCCAGACUCCUACGGGAGGCAGCAGUGGGGAAUAUUGCACAAUGGGCGCAAGCCUGAUGCAGCAACGCCGCGUGAGGGAUGAAGGCCUUCGGGUUGUAAACCUCUUUUAGCAGGGAAGAAGCGAAAGUGACGGUACCUGCAGAAAAAGCACCGGCUAACUACGUGCCAGCAGCCGCCGUAA
rnacentral:rRNA from 1 species